rnacentral:rRNA from 1 species
CCUACGGGAGGCAGCAGUGGGGAAUAUUGCACAAUGGGCGCAAGCCUGAUGCAGCCAUGCCGCGUGUGUGAAGAAGGCCUUCGGGUUGUAAAGCACUUUCAGCGGGGAGGAAGGCGGUGAGGUUAAUAACCUCAUCGAUUGACGUUACCCGCAGAAGAAGCACCGGCUAACUCCGUGCCAGCAGCCGCGGUAAUACGGAGGGUGCGAGCGUUAAUCGGGAUUACUGGGCGUAAAGCGCACGCAGGCGGUCUGUCAAGUCGGAUGUGAAAUCCCCGGGCUCAACCUGGGAACUGCAUUCGAAACUGGCAGGCUAGAGUCUUGUAGAGGGGGGUAGAAUUCCAGGUGUAGCGGUGAAAUGCGUAGAGAUCUGGAGGAAUACCGGUGGCGAAGGCGGCCCCCUGGACAAAGACUGACGCUCAGGUGCGAAAGCGUGGGGAGCAAACAGGAUUAGAUACCCUGGUAGUC